rnacentral:rRNA from 1 species
GAUGAACGCUGGCGGCGUGCCUAAUACAUGCAAGUCGAGCGAACGGACGAGAAGCUUGCUUCUCUGAUGUUAGCGGCGGACGGGUGAGUAACACGUGGAUAACCUACCUAUAAGACUGGGAUAACUUCGGGAAACCGGAGCUAAUACCGGAUAAUAUUUUGAACCGCAUGGUUCAAAAGUGAAAGACGGUCUUGCUGUCACUUAUAGAUGGAUCCGCGCUGCAUUAGCUAGUUGGUAAGGUAACGGCUUACCAAGGCAACGAUGCAUAGCCGACCUGAGAGGGUGAUCGGCCACACUGGAACUGAGACACGGUCCAGACUCCUACGGGAGGCAGCAGUAGGGAAUCUUCCGCAAUGGGCGAAAGCCUGAAGGAGCAACGCAGCGUGAGUGAUGAAGGUCUUCGGAUCGUAAAACUCUGUUAUUAGGGAAGAACAUAUGUGUAAGUAACUGUGCACAUCUUGACGGUACCUAAUCAGAAAGCCACGGCUAACUACGUG